UGAAUAUUAAAGCCUUAUGGUCCCAUGAUGGGUUAAAAGGGAAGACGGGUGAGAAUCCCGCGCAGCCCCCGCUACUGUGAGGGAGGACGAAGCCCUAGUAAGCCACUGUCCGGCACUCAACUGAGCGCGUUAGUAAGGAGAAAAGAGGGAGAGAAAUUGCGUUCAGUUGAGUGCCGGGUGGGAAGGCAGGGUGGAGGAUGAGUCCCGAGCCAGGAGACCUGCCAUAAGGUUUUAGAAGUU
rnacentral:ncRNA from 2 species